AUUGAACGCUGGCGGAAUGCUUUACACAUGCAAGUCGAACGGCAGCACGGACUUCGGUCUGGUGGCGAGUGGCGAACGGGUGAGUAAUAUAUCGGAACGUGCCCAGUCGUGGGGGAUAACGUAGUGAAAAUUACGCUAAUACCGCAUACGUCCUACGGGAGAAAGCGGGGGAUCUUCGGACCUCGCGCCAUUAGAUGAGCCUAGGUCGGAUUAGCUAGUUGGUGAGGUAAUGGCUCACCAAGGCGACGAUCCGUAACUGGUCUGAGAGGAUGAUCAGUCACACUGGAACUGAGACACGGUCCAGACUCCUACGGGAGGCAGCAGUGGGGAAUAUUGGACAAUGGGCGAAAGCCUGAUCCAGCCAUGCCGCGUGUGUGAAGAAGGUCUUCGGAUUGUAAAGCACUUUAAGUUGGGAGGAAGGGCAGUAACCUAAUACGUUAUUGUUUUGACGUUACCGACAGAAUAAGCACCGGCUAACUUCGUG
rnacentral:rRNA from 1 species